AUGAACGCUGCCAGAAUGCUUAACACAUGCAAGUCUUUGGCGAAGCUGUGCUUGCACAGCUUAGCCAAGGCGGACGGGUGAGUAACGCGUAAGGAACUUGCCCUGCAGUCAGGGAUAACAGACGGAAACGACUGAUAAGACCUGGUAAAGUCAGGCGGACUCAUGUCCAGCCUGAUGAAAAGAGAUGCUGCAGGAGAGCCUUGCGUCCUAUUAGCUUGUUGGUGGGGUAACGGCCCACCAAGGCGAUGAUAGGUAGCCGGCCUGAGAGGGUGGACGGCCACAAGGGGACUGAGAUACGGCCCUUACUCCUACGGGAGGCAGCAGUGGGGAAUAUUGGACAAUGGGGGCAACCCUGAUCCAGCAAUUCUGUGUGCACGAUGAAGGUUUUCGGAUUGUAAAGUGCUUUCAGCAGGGAAGAAAAAAAUGACGGUACCUGCAGAAGAAGCGACGGCUAAAUACGUG
rnacentral:rRNA from 1 species